UAUUUCGCCAGUUUGGAUGAAGUUCUGAAACAUCAUUGACCUGAGCCAUGUGAGAUGAAACAGGAGAAAAUGCCUUAAUUUCCGAGACAUGAGUGAAACCACCAUUGGCGGCAUCUCUGCUAUUAAGUAUUCAAGAGUAUACAAGAGUCAAGAUACAUUGAAGAUGGAGAAGUAGCAGCACAUCUUUUGACAUGGUAUAACAUAAUGACCCAAUGACCUAGAUCAUUCUCAUCCUUCACCAUCUCUCUUGAUCUCAGCAUGUUUUUAUGCUGUUUUGAUUCUUGAACAAACUCAAAAAAACAAAAAAAAAACAAAACAAAAACUGUCUUAUAUUAGCUCUUUUCAUUGGACACAUCAUAGCUCUUUGUGAAUAUUUCUUACG